GUUAAGAGCUCGGCUCGUGAGCUAUCGCCUCAUCCCUAAUUAUACGACGCUCUGACGUCAGAGAACAUCUCUGACGAUAACUAGAACAUUCUAUCAGUAUUCAUUGGUAUUAUUAUUGUGUUAUGAGUAAAGAGAUGUACACGUGAGAAAUUAGAGAAUAAAUACCUAUUAAUUACAUAAGAUUACGUUAUAUUAUUUAAUCAGUCUUAUGGUAAUCCCAUAGUCCCUUUUUCCCCAAGCAUUUUGAGCUCUAAGUCUUCCUGACGCUCGUUUUCGAGCUAGAGUCGUAGGCCACUAGUGUAUGCUCCGAUUGGUCUGGGACGAGAAGGAGGAGAAAAGAGAAAAACUGUACCGUGGACUAGUCGAGAAACUCAAGGAACGACUGUUACCUCACCUACGCGUUCGAUGAUGUUCCUACGGCCACGUCGUCAAGGUGUGCAUAGCCUUCAAGCCCAGGCUCGAGGCCAUGGUGGCAGCUGAGGGAGACCAUUUGGAGAAAUAACUUUGUAAUUAUAGUUCUUUUGAAUUGAGAGUAAAUUAAAAAAAAAAAAAGUUUCAUAUAGCCUACUCGUUGAAUACUAUGUUGUUCUUGAUGAAGUCGAUUUUUCGUAUCCUACGCUAAAAGGUCACGUUUUGCUGUUGCACACUUUGCAUAAAAGAGAA
rnacentral:lncRNA from 1 species